GAGGAAAAGAAACCAACUGGGAUUACCUUAGUAACGGCGAGUGAAGCGGUAAAAGCUCAAAUUUGAAAUCUGGUACUUUCAGUGCCCGAGUUGUAAUUUGUAGAAUUUGUCUUUGAUUAGGUCCUUGUCUAUGUUCCUUGGAACAGGACGUCAUAGAGGGUGAGAAUCCCGUUUGGCGAGGAUACCUUUUCUCUGUAAGACUUUUUCGAAGAGUCGAGUUGUUUGGGAAUGCAGCUCAAAGUGGGUGGUAAAUUCCAUCUAAAGCUAAAUAUUGGCGAGAGACCGAUAGCGAACAAGUACAGUGAUGGAAAGAUGAAAAGAACUUUGAAAAGAGAGUGAAAAAGUACGUGAAAUUGUUGAAAGGGAAGGGCAUUUGAUCAGACAUGGUGUUUUUUUAAUGUGCAAGUCUCUCGUGGACAUGUGCCUCUGGAAAUUAACACUGGGCCAACAUCAGUUCUGGCGGCAGGAUAAAUCAUUAAGAAUGUAGCUACCUCGGUAGUGUUAUAGCUUUUUGGAAUACUGCCAGCUGGGAUUGAGGACUGCGCUUCGGCAAGGAUGUUGGCAUAAUGGUUAAAUGCCGCCCGUCUUGA
rnacentral:rRNA from 1 species